GAAUCUAUGAAGGGACAUCAUUUCUGAGCCCAUUGAGACUUGUAGUGAAAAACCAAGCAUCCCCUGAUAAAUAGGUAGUAGAAACAAACUACCUAUGAAAAUGCUUUUUGAUUUGUGGAUUUAUCUCACAGUGUUAAAUUUUUGAUUUGAUUCAACUGGUUGAAAACAUUCUUUAUGUAGAAUCUAUGAAGAGACGUUUUUGAGCUUAUCGAGAUGUAAGAAUCUAUGAAGGGACAUUUCCGAGGCCAUCGAGGCCUAUAGUGAACAACAGAAUAUUCUGUGAUAAAAACUAGAAACAACCUACCUGUGAAAACGAUUUGUGAUCUUUGGAUUCAUCUCACCACAUGGAACCUGUGUUUUGAUUCAGCUGGUUGGAAAAACUCUUUUUGUGGAAUCUACCAAAGGAUAUUUCUAAGCCCGUUGAGGCCUAUAUUAAAUUGAUUAUCUCAUGGUAAGAACUAGAAACAAGCUAUCUGUGAAAAUGCUUUGCAUUAGGUGGAUUCAUCUCAUGAAGUUAAACCUUUGUUUUAUUCAACAGGUUGAAAGCAUUCUUUUUGUAGAAUCUAUGAAAAGACAUUUCUGAGCUUAUUCUGGUUUAUAGAGUAAAACCGAAUAUCCUGAAAUAAAAACUGGAAACUAGGUUGAAAACACAAUUUUUGAAGUAUCUAUGAUGGGACAUAUCGAAGCCCGUUGAGACUUAGUGAAAAACAGAAUAUCCCCUGACAAAAAUUAGAAACAAGCUUUCUGUGAAAAUGUUUUUUGAUGUCUGUAUUUAUCUCACUGAAUGAAAAAUGCAUUUUGAUUCAAGAUGCUGGAAACACUAUUUUUGUAGAAUCUAUGAAGGGAUAUUUCUGAACUCAUUGAAGUCUACAGUGACAAACCGACUAUCCAAUGAUAAAAACUAGAAAUACGCUGUGAAAAAGUUUUAUGAUGUGUGGAUUCUUCUCACUGAAUUAAACCUGCAUUGUAAAUCAUCAGGACUGAAACCUUCUAUUUGUAGAAUCUAUGAAGGAACAUUUAUGAGCCCAUCGAGGCCUGUAUUGAAAAACAAAGGAUCCUGUGGUAAAAACUAGAAACAACCUAAAUAUGGAAAUGCUUUGAGAAAUGUGAUUCAUCUCACAGAGAUGAAUCUUUGUAUUGAUUCAUCAGGUUGGAAACUCUCUUUUUGUGGAAAAUAAAAGGUCUAAAAAGAGACAUAUCUGAGCCCAUUGUGGCCUACAGUGAAAAACUGAAUUUCUUGAACAAACGCUGGAAACCAGCUAUGUGUGAAAAUGCUUUGUGAUGUGUGGGUUUAUCUCACAAAGUUAAACCAUUGUUUUGAUUCAACAUGUUGGAAACACUCUCUCUGUAGAAUCUAUGAAAAAACAUUUCUGAGCUCAUUGAGAAGUAUAGUGAAAAACCACAUAUCCUGAAAUAGAAACUAGAAACAAGAUACGUGUGGAAUGUUUGUGAUGUGUGGAUUCAUCUCACCAAAUGGAACCUGUAUUUUGAUUCACCCAGUUGGAAACACACUUUUUGUAGAAUCUACGAAGGGACAUUUCAGAGCCCAUUGAGGCCUAUUGUGAAAAAUCAAUUAUCCCAUGGUAAAAACUUGAAACAACCUAUCUGUGAAAAUACUUUGUGAUGUAUAGAUUCAUCUCACAAAGUUAAACCAUUGUUUUUAUUCAACACAUUGGAAACACUAUUUUUUAGAAUCUACAAAUAGAAAUUUCUUAGCUUUUUGAGACCUAUAGUAAGAAACUAAUAUCCCACAAUAAAAACUAGAGACAAGCUGUAUGUGAAAAUGUUUUGUGAUGUGUGCAUUCAUCUAACUGAAUGGCACCUGUGUUUUGAUUCACAAGGUUGGAAACACUUUUUGUAGAAUCUACAGAGGUACAUUUCUGAGCCCAUUGAGGCCUACUGUGAAAAACCAAAUAUUCUGUGAUAAAAAUUAGAAACAAGCUAUCUUUGAAAAUGCUUUGGUAUAUGUGGAUUUAUCUCACAGCAUUUAACCUAUGUUUUGAUUCAACAGGUUGGAACGACUUUUUUAGCAGAAUCUAUGACAGUACGUUUCUUUGUCCUUUUAAACCUAUCAUGAAAAACCAAAUUUCCUGUGAUAAAAACCAGAAACAGGGUUUCUGUGAAAAUGCUUUGUGAUGUGUGGAUUCAUCUCACAGACGUUAACCUUUGUUUUGUUUCAACAGGUUCAAAACACUCUUCCUGUAAAAUCUACUUAGGGACAGUCCUGAGCCCAUUGAGGUCUUUAGUAAAAAACGGAAUAUCCCAUGAUAAAAACUAGAAACAAACUAUCUGGGAAAAUGUUUGUGAUGUGUGGUUUCAUAUCACAGAGUAAAACCUUUGUUUUGAUUUAAAACGU
rnacentral:lncRNA from 1 species